rnacentral:misc_RNA from 1 species
GGUUUAGUGACACAAGACCGAAAGUAGUACAUAAGUUGUGUGCGUGACAGAAGACGCGUUUCAAGUUUGGCACUGCCUGUGACCUGUAGUUCACUGAAAAAGCAUGGAUAAAUAAUCUGGAAGGUGACAUGUCAUCUAAUGUAACAGAUAAAUGAACCUGUCACAAACCAUUUCUGAUUGACAGUUUGAGUUUCAUAACGCAGAAAACGUGUUUUGUAACUUUAAAGAAAUCUGAAUAUUACGAAAUGUCUUUCCCUCUAAUAUGUCAAAUGAGCAUAAGGCGCAUCAGCCAGCGAGCAAAAGAUGAAAAAACAAGAAAACUAUUGAGUCGCAUAAUUAGGGUUGAUCAAGCUGGAGAACUGGGAGCUGAUAGAAUUUAUGCUGGACAAAUUGCAGUGUUGGGCAAUACUCCUGUAGGACCCAUUAUACAGGAAAUGAAAGAGCAAGAACAAGAACAUCUUGAGACGUUUAACAAGCUGAUUGUAGAGAAGAGAGUGAGGCCCACAGCAUUACUACCACUUUGGAACAUUGCUGGAUUUGCUUUAGGAGCAGGUACAGCUUUGCUUGGGAAGGAAGGAGCUAUGGCCUGUACAGUGGCAGUGGAGUCAGUCAUUGGGGAACAUUAUAACAGUCAAAUUCGGGACCUGAUGGAAGAUGACCCUGAAAAACACAAAGAACUUAUAAAAGUAAGUUAGAGUAAAGACUUUUGAUGCAAUCUGAAAUUUUUAUUAGAAAAGGAUGGCAAAGAUUCUUUGUAAUAUUGUUUGAGGAUUUUGAGGUUUUUAUUGAUGCUCUAUACAACAACUUUAGUUUAAAGCCCAUUUCUUCAAAUUUUCUGACAUUUUUUAUGCAGUUAUUGAAAACAAAAAUCUAAAUUAAAUAGUUCAUAUUGUAACUACCAUAUACUGUAAACCUACUUUUAUUCGCGACAACUUUAUGGUUCGCGAUGACUUCUUUUCGUGACCAAGCCUUAUCUAGUCCCGUGUUGUUGUAAAAACCAUACGUUCGCGACGACGAGGCUCUCGCAAACCUCGCUGAAAUUACUUGCACGCGAAUAAAAGUUGGUUUACAGUACAUAUCAUAGACUGAAAACAAAGUUUUAUUAAUCAAAUUUUGCUUUGAAUGACUAGUGGAAAGCUAAACUGUUACAAUUCUCGAUGACAAAAUCCUAGUUAGAGCAGAGGUUGCAUGCUCAUGAAUCUCUUGAGAUAUUCUUCACUCACAUAUAUAUAAUACUUGGUUUAUUGUCUGUAUAAAAAGUAUAUCAUAAAAAAAGUUACAUGACAAUUACCGGUACUGGACCUUUAAUCUUUAUAUUCAUGGUCUAUUUAAAAAUAUAUCUAGCUUUUACUUCCUAAAUUACAGAAAUUGAGCAAGUUUCGAGAUGAUGAGCUACAUCACCAUGAUACUGGGUUAGAACAUGAUGCAGAAAAGGCACCCAUGUAUGAUGCUCUUUCACAAGUGAUCAAGGUUGGGUGCAUAGGAGCAAUCUGGUUAUCAGAGAGAAUAUAAAUCCAUCAUCUGCAAUGUUUAGGACAUACAUGUAUAUUGUGCAUUUUAUCUUCAUUAUAUGAAUGGAUGCUACUGUAUUACAUGUGACAAGUGGGACUAUUUCAUAGAGAUGCAAGUAACAACAUUAGUAUCUUGAAGUGAUAUGUGAACUUAUAAUAAUAAAUCAAUCCAUAUGU